GAGAGAGAGAUAGACGAGACGCGGGAGCGGGAGAGAGCGAGAGAGAGAUUGAGAGAUCGGGGAAUUAGGGUUUUGAAAUUCAUCAUCGGAAAGGUUAGACAUUUUGAUCAAAUUAUACGCUCGAUCCGUGUACAUUUGCAACGCCGUUGAUCUCGCGAGGAGAGGGGUUUGAGGAGAUUUUUUGUUUGUUGUUGGUGAGUUUGGAAUUUUGUGGUAAAAGGUUUGAUGAUGAUGAUGAUGUUUGUUUGUGAGAAAGAGGUGUGCUUCUUGUUAAUUUGCAGGGAGCGAACGAGGAAGAAGAAGAGGAUGAGAGGUGUGUGAGAUAGAGAGAGGGGGUGGUGGUGGUGAGGAUACGAGAGCGAGAUUUUACCCGAUUGAAUUUGAGUGUUAGAAAGCGUCUCCUUUCGUCCUAAGCCUUCCGGAAUUUUGUCCAGACUUCACCCAUGGAGCGAAAGCUUGUGGUCAGUAUAAUUUCUGCUCCCAAUGUGAUAUGUUUUUGGUUUCUGCCUCAGUGAUUUGAUUGCUCCGUGGUUGCUUCUUUGUAGGUUCUGGGUAUCCCUUGGGAAGUGGAUACUGAGGGUUUGCGGGAUUAUAUGGGCAAGUUUGGGGAUUUGGAUGACUG
rnacentral:lncRNA from 1 species